rnacentral:rRNA from 1 species
UGGCAGGUCAGCAUACUGCCGUGAAUACGUUCCCGGGCCUUGUACACACCGCCCGUCACACCAUGAGAGUUGGAGAUACCCGAAGCCUGUGAGCUAACAGAAAUGGAGCAGCAGUCGAAGGUAGAAUCAAUGAUUGGGGUGAAGUCGUAACAAGGUAGC